AAAAUUCCUUCUUUUAGCACUGUAGUUGCAGCCUUGGCCCAGGGACCACGGCACCAGCUCUAUGCACAAUGUGAACUCACAACCCCCAAGAUCAAGAGUCACAUAUUCUGACUGAGCAGCUAGGUGCCCCUGUAGUGUCUUCUUUACGAGAAGUCAGAGGAGAAGCUUCUGCCAAAUGUCAGUUCCAGAAAGAUCUGUACUUCUCUCAAGCACCUGGUCUGGUCUUUACUUACAAACACUGAAUCCUUUAAUUGAACUUUUUCUUUGUAUUUCCUCAGAACCAAGCUCAGAACCAAGAUUAAAAUUAGGUGUCCACAGAAAACUUCAGAGCACCCCAAAACAGAAUCCGGGACUUGUAGAAACUCUCGGGCUCCUCAAGAGAGUGCUGCAAACACCUGAAGAAAAGGCAGAACUUGUGGAAGACUUGACAGGUAUCAGGAAGCUCCCACAAACAAACACCAAAAGAAACAGGAACAAAUAAAUGGCAGUCGGUUCCUCAGAAAGCUUAGGAGUGUGCUAAAGCACAAGUCAGACUCAGUAAAAACUAAGAAUUCUGACAGGAAUGCUGAGGGCAUCUAAAAUAAAACCAGAACCCAUGGAAGACCUGGCAGCCAUCAGAGAGCUCCUACAAACCUAAAGGAACAAACCAGUGAUGGUAAGGUUCACAGAAAGCUUAGGAACACUUGAAAGCAGACCCAGAACCAGUAGAAAUUCUAACAGGCAUCAUUAGGAGGCUGCUGAAGACACUCAAGAUAAAACCAGAGCCCUCCGAAGACCUGGCAGGUAUCAAAGAAUUCAGAGAAACACCAGCAGAACCAGAGAAAUACAUAAAUGGUUGUGAUGUCCACUUUAAAAAGCUUAGAACAGUCCAAAGCACAAACCCGAAUGAUGAGGAAAUCUAAGAAUAUUCAGGAUACAGCUGGAGAAGAACAAGGAAAGCGCAGACUCCGUGGAAGAUCUGAAGGCAUCAGAGAGCGUCUAAAAACACCAAAGCAAGCAGCUACAACCAGAGAGCAAAAGCAACAAGAACCCCUCAUCUCCCAAGCGGAAAUGUGGAAAAGGUGAAACCUCACUCCGGGUGUCAAAAGACCCAGUGGAAGACUCAACAGGAGCCAAGCGCCUUAGGAAAACUACACAGUAAAUGGUGGACCCCAGAAUAUAAGACAAUCAAGAAGAAGCUUGGAUAUCUCCCAGGGAGAAAUGUGAAUCCACUGAACUAACAACACUCAGGAAAAUUCUGAAAACUUCUGUGGGAAACUUCUGUGUGAACCCAGAAAAGACCCAACAGGCACCAAUGGUCAAAACUCCUAAAGAAAAAACCACGUAGAAGACUUGACAGGUGUCAAAAACGUGCAAAACAGAGUUAGUCAAAGAACAAGAUACACCCUAAAAAAACAAAAAGAGAGUUUCAAGAAUCUGAACAUUUGUCUAGUCCAAGAGAUAAUGUGCAGAGAUGAAUGGAAGAAAUAGGAACUUAAUUUUCAAGCAGAGCUGAGUCAGCAUUGUCCCUCUAUCACAGAUACAGGUAUGGAACUAAUAUAGAACUCAGGAGUCUCAUUGCUUCUAGCAACAGAAAAAUUUUCAAAUAAAGGAAAAUGGAAAGAAUACUGUGAAGAGUUUCUAAGAGAAAAACUCAGAAACUGUAACAUAAGAGGAAGAAGUAAGUUGGUAUAAAAUCAGAGAAAAGAGCAACUUGGAGUUUUAAGAGAUGUGUUUUAGUGAAAACAAGUACUGAAAAUUCAAAGCAAGGUAACAACAUACAAAGAAAGAAAAAUAAGAACUGGGAGAGAUCAAGACAAUGAAGGUGCUUAGUUAAGAAGUUGAAGAGGAAAAAAGUGAUAAACUUUAGUUGGAUGGCAUAAAUGUCCAACAUUGUAAAAUUUUUGUUGUAAAAUUAAAAGUGAAUUCUGUAAGUAAAAAACAAUAAAUAAAAUUAGGUUCUAUAUGUAUUUAAAUAUAGUCAAAGUAUUGGUUUUAUUUGACAUUUGAUUAUUUUAUAGGGAAAUUUUUGUUUUAAAGAAGACAUUCUUUCCAUCUCUAUGGAAGAAAGGAUGUUUUAAUUCCUUACAAUUAGCUGGUUGCUGAUUCAUUCUUUGUUGAUAAAAUACCUUCCCUUAGCCUAC